AUUUGACUCAACGCGGGAAAUCUUACCGGGUCCGGACACACUGAGGAUUGACAGGCAAUAUCUAUUAAAAGAUUAUAUUUUUAAUAUAAUUCUUUUUAAUAGUGUUAAAUAUGCUAGUCCUUUCAUGAUUAUGUGAUAGGUGGUGCAUGGCCGUNCUUAGUUCGUGGAGNGAUCUGNCUGCUUAAUUGCGNUUCACUAAGGGCCCAUAAAUUCAAGGAAUGUUAGCUAUUGUUUCCCUAUUGACCCCNNAUUUAAUAAGCGCGUGUCUUUAUGGGNUUAAACAUUGCGCAUGCUGUUGGGNCCUGAAAGCAACGAACG
rnacentral:rRNA from 1 species